AUAACGAAUGCAAAAGGAAAGAGCAGAGGCACCCUAUAUAUGUUCUGUAGGCCUUUUAGAAAACAUGGAGUUGUUCCUGUGGCCACAAACACAUGAAUCUAUAAGAAAGGUGAUAUUGUAGACAUCAAGGGAAUAGGUUGAAAAAGGAGUGCCCACAAGUGUUACCAUGGCAAAACCGGAAGAGUCCCAGUGUUCCUCCGCAUGCCGUUGGCAUUGUUGUAAACAUACAAGUUAAGGGCAAGAUUCCUGGCAAGAGAAUUAAUGUGUGUAUUGAGCACAUUAAGCAUGCUAAGAGCCAGGAUAGCUUCCUGAAACGUGUGAAGGAAAAUGAUGGGAAAAAGAAGGAAGCCAAAGAGAGAAGUACCUGGGUUCAGGUGAAGCGCCAGCCUGCUCCACCCAGAGAAGUGCAUUUUGUGAGAACCAACUGGAAGGAGCUUGAGCUGCUGAGACCCCUUCCCUAUGGAUUCAUGGCAUAA
rnacentral:lncRNA from 1 species